rnacentral:piRNA from 1 species
UCUGAUUUAGAGAAAAGCAGGUCUGAU